GUGUUUGCAGAGGAAGAGUGUGUUGGGGAGAGUUUGAGGAGUGCAGGGACCUGAAGUGUGGGAAAACCGGAGACUCACUCACCAGUCCUCCCACUCCUACUGAUGAGCUGGAGCUUUUGGGUGAACAGGACAUGAUUUUAAGAAAUGACCAGGCUGGCCACGAUCGACACACUCACCUGCAGUCAUUCUCCUGUGACGUUCUCCUGUGGACAAGCGAGUCCGGCCCACUUACACCGGGGCUGGAAGUGCAGGCACAGAUGGAGUGGUGAAUUCAGGAGUUCUGACAGGUGGAGGAAUCUGUGUCAAACAUGACAAAGAUGUUACAAAAACCUGCAGGUAUUUCAACAAUUAAACAUGACUAACAUCAGUAGGAUUUAAUAAAGUUGAUGCACUCCUGUUUUCAACAUCUGCGCUUAAAAAUGUCAAACUCGGUGCUGUCAGAUUUGUUUCCAUAUAAUGUAAAAAAGUAAUAAAAGUAAAAUGUGUGUGUAAAUAUAAACUGUGUAAAUAACUUCAUAACAAACGUCGACAUGGUGGUGGUUUGGAAGUGGUCAUUAGUAAAACAGUGGAAUCCAGACUUUGUGUGAGUGUUGUGUGAGUGAGCUGAGAGCAGUGUGUGGAGGAGAACAGAGCAGAGGUUUUUGUACGGCCUCUUCAUCACUUUGUAUCACUGUGGUGGACGUUCGGAGGAGGAACACAGCUCAUCAUUCACAGUGGCCCGGUGCGCCCCCCCUCUGUCUCUCUCGUGGGCCCCUCUCUGCAGCAGCUCUCUGGGGGGAGGCUCUCUCUGCUCUGCCUGCUCAGCUCCUACUCUCCACAGGGAGCCAGUGUGAGCUGGGAGGUGGACGGACACGAGCUCACAGACACAGGGGCGGCUCAGAGCAGCGUGGAGCAGGAGUGUGAGCAGCCUGUACAGCAGCAGCAGCCUCCUGAGCCUGACUGAGGACAGCUGGCUGCAGGGACAGCUGUUCUCCUGUAGGGUGCACCACCACGGACACGUCCACGUCCAGUCACUGCACAAGAGCCACUGCUUAGAGCCACUGCUUAGAGCUGCAUGGGCCCUGAACACGGAGCAUCCCACAGCUGCAGUAAGACUCAGAUGUAGAGUGUGACUUUUGCUCAGUGCACAGGCUGAAUAAAACAUGUUCCAUGA